rnacentral:rRNA from 1 species
CUAACGUCCGUCGUGAAGAGGGAAACAACCCAGACCGCCAGCUAAGGUCCCAAAGUCAUGGUUAAGUGGGAAACGAUGUGGGAAGGCCCAGACAGCAGGAUGUUGGCUUAGAAGCAGCCAUCAUUUAAAGAAAGCGUAAUAGCUCACUGGUCGAGUCGGCCUGCGCGGAAGAUGUAACGGGGCUAAACCAUGCACCGAAGCUGCGGCAGCGACGCUGAUGCGUUGUUGGGUAGGGGAGCGUUCUGUAAGCCUGCGAAGGUGUGCUGUGAGGCAUGCUGGAGGUAUCAGAAGUGCGAAUGCUGACAUAAGUAACGAUAAAGCGGGUGAAAAGCCCGCUCGCCGGAAGACCAAGGGUUCCUGUCCAACGUUAAUCGGGGCAGGGUGAGUCGACCCCUAAGGCGAGGCCGAAAGGCGUAGUCGAUGG